rnacentral:lncRNA from 1 species
CAAAUUCAAGCUUGUCCUACAAAGACCUAGUAUGAUCACUUAUCCCACAGUAUUUCUCAGCAAGGCACUAGUAUUUGAGCCAAAAUUUCCACCACUUGACCAAAAAGACUAAAAUAGCUCCACACCUGUUGUACCUCCUCCUGCUGUGUAAUAACCCUUUGCUCCCUGCAGUUUUGCUUCUUAAACACUCCACUCAGGAUCAGUAAAACCUGUUAUUUUUGUUUAUUUAUGUUUCUGAGGAAGGUAAGACUGCUUUGGCAAAUUAUUGCCAUUAUGUGUGAAUGAAGGCCACAUGGUUUAUAAACUGUAGAGCAAGACACUGAAAGUGCACAGGGAAUAGAUGGAGUCCCAUCCUCAACCUACUUGCCACCAGGUGGGACACAUGGGAUGGAGCUCAGGGCCAUGUAAUGGGUCAUGAUGCUCUUCCAACGAAGAAUAUGUGGCAGGGUACAGCGGAAAGGGCAGAGACUGAGGGGCGAGGCCUGGAUUUUAGUAAUUUCUGUCACUAUUUGGUCUUGGGCAACCCAGUUCCUAGGUCUAGUUCCUCAUCUGUAUAAUGUAGAAGUUAGGCUACAUGGCAUGGUUUGUUAAGAAUGCAGUUCUGUUCUAUACUUUUUCUGAUUCUUUUCUGGCUCAGCAGUUAACACGUGUGGUAAGGGGCUGCUGAAGUUCUUUGGAUAGAAUAGGUAAAACUGCUAUUGAGUAAAGGUUUUAUUCUUGCCUGAAUUAUCCAUAUAGGGUUCUUAAAUUGAUCAAGUUAAUUUAAUAUUAUUUUUGUUACCUAGUAACUUUGCAUUUUAGGAACAAUCUUAGUGAAUAAAGGAAAGGAUCAGACUGCCUGCCAGUUGCCUGCAUCAUGAAAAAUGCUCAUGUGAGGCUCCUUAAAGCCGGUAGAGGUCAGAGAGAGAGGUCGGACUGGGAACUUUGUAUCCCAGCCUAUGGGAAGAUAGCUGAGGAAAUGGUUGUUAAGCAGCAGUGGUUCCAUCCCAUGGGAUUCCCAAUUGACAUCAACUACCUCCUCUUAGUCAAGUUAUAGGUAAGGUGGAUGGGGGCAGGAUAUAGAUAGAAUGGGUUGCUAUGAUGCAGGGAGUGAAAUCAGUGUUUGCACACCUAGGUAUUGGAUUUGGAUAUCUCAAAAGCUGUGUUCUUCGAAGACUGGCCUUUCUGAGCUUGAAGAAAUCUGGAGUAUACCAGAUCCUAAAGACUUGGGAAGAAGAGACGCAAUAAUUACUCCCCCCUGCAGUCAUGUGGCUUUGAGAAAAAUCUGAACAGAGCAUUUAUAGUCAGAAGAAAGUCUCACUAUGCCACUGGCCAUCUAGUGGUGAGAGGGAGUGAUCAUAAUUUGCUGGACGGCCACAGUGGCUCACACCUUGCCUAUGCUUUGGAAGGCUGAGGUGGGAGGAUCACUUCAGCCCAGGAGUUUGAGACCAGCCUGGGUAACACAGUGAGUCCCCAUCUCUACAAAAUAAAUUAGCUGGGUGUGGUGGUGUGUGCCUGUAAUCCCAGCUGCUUGGGAGGCUGAGGUAGGAGAAUUGCUUGAGCUCAGGAGGUUGAGGCUGCAGUGAGCUGUGAUGGCACCACUUCACUCCAGCCUACACAAUAGAGCAAGACCCUGGCUCUCAUAACACACACACAAAAGACUUGCCUCAUUCAUAUAACAUCAGUAAAAACCCUCCUAAAUUCUAAAGGCAGGCAAAGUUAAUAUCAUUUUAGGAUUAUAUUCCUGUAAUCCUAGCACUUU